UGCAGUCGUGCGAGAAGGAGACUUCGGUCUCUAAGUAAAGCGGCGAAUGGGUGAGUAUCGCGUGGGCAAUCUGCCCUCGAGACCGGGACAACCUGGCGAAAGCCGGGCUAAUACCGGAUAAGCCCACGGGGGCUUCGGCUCCUGUGGGAAAAGGGUGCCCUCUCCAUGGAAGGUACCGCUCGAAGAUGGGCCCGCGUCCGAUUAGCUUGUUGGUGAGGUAACGGCUCACCAAGGCCGAGAUCGGUAGCUGGUCUGAGAGGAUGAUCAGCCACACUGGGACUGAGACACGGCCCAGACUCCUACGGGAGGCAGCAGUGGGGAAUAUUGCGCAAUGGGGGAAACCCUGACGCAGCAACGCCGCGUGAGUGAUGAAGGCCCUUGGGUCGUAAAGCUCUGUCGGGUGGGACGAAUGGCCGCGGGUGAAUAACCCGUUGGCUUUGACGGUACCGCCAAAGGAAGCACCGGCUAACUCCGUGCCAGCAGCCGCGGUAAUACGGAGGGUGCGAGCGUUGUUCGGAAUUACUGGGCGUAAAGAGCUUGUAGGCGGCUUGUUAAGUCUGAUGUGAAAGCCCUCGGCUCAACCGGGGAAGUGCAUUGGAUACUGGCGACUUUGAGUAUGGGAGAGGAGAGCGGAAUUCCCGGUGUAGAGGUGAAAUUCGUAGAUAUCGGGAGGAACACCAGUGGCGAAGGCGGCUCUCUGGACCAAUACUG
rnacentral:rRNA from 1 species